rnacentral:misc_RNA from 1 species
GAAAUGCGAUAAGUAGUGUGAAUUGCAGAAUUCAGUGAAUCAUCGAAUCUUUGAACGCACAUUGCGCCCCUUGGUAUUCCAUGGGGCAUGCCUGUUCGAGCGUCAUUUGUACCCUCAAGCUCUGCUUGGUGUUGGGUGUUUGUCCCCGUCUCCGCGCGUGGACUCGCCCCAAAGUGAUUGGCAGCCGGCGUACUGGUCCCGGAGCGCAGCACAUGUCGCGCAAACGAGUGCCUUGGUACGGCGGCGUCCAUAAGCCCCUCUCUCACGCUCUUGACCUCGGAUCAGGUAGGGAUACACGCUGAACUUAAGC